UACGUAGGGUGCGAGGCGUUAAUCGGAAUUACUGGGCGUAAAGCGUGCGCAGGCGGCUUCUCAAGUCAGGGGUGAAAGCCCAGAGCUCAACUCUGGAACUGCCUUUGAUACUCCCGCGCUUGAGAACUGGAGGGGAGACCGGAAUUCCGAGUGUAGAGGUGAAAUUCGUAGAUAUUCGGAGGAACACCCGUGGCGAAGGCGGCCCACUGGGCCGGUACUGACGCUGAGGCGCGAAGGCGUGGGGAGCGAACGGG
rnacentral:rRNA from 1 species